AAAAAUGCCAAAAAAAUAAAUCAAAAAGAAAAAGAAUGAUAUAAACCGGUUCUAAAAAGAGAGUUUUUAGAAUUCGUAAAAACCUCUGACGCCGUUGACGCUCUUCGUCUAGCUGGAUCUCUCGAAGGUUCUGUAUCAGGGUUGGAUUUGAGUUUCGAGGAGCUAGGAGGCGUUGCUUUGGAUCUCGUCGGAAUUCCUCUAUCGGAGGAAACAUUGACAAAGGCAAAGAACUCAGAUGUGUUUCAAUUUAAAACCUAUCACUGUCUUCCCUCAGUUGGUUGAUUCGACUUAUGAUCAUCCGCGAGCUUACCAGAGUUGAGUGACCAGCUUUCAUGUAGAAACAGAGAUUUGCUUCUUGUAUCUCUUUACAAAGGUUGUGUCUUUCUUGGCUGAAAAUAGGUAUUUACUGUUAGUUUAUAAUUAAGUUAGAUGCCGGAAGACCUCCCCGAAUAUCCCUUGUCUUCAUCCUCCUUCCAUCACAUCAUAUUCCUCAAUUCGAGAGAGAGAGAGAGAGAGAGAGAGCUUGGAUCGCGGUGGUGGAGUGUGAGGGAGUAGAUCAAUAGACAUGGCUUCGACUGACGGACUUGUGCCCAUCACCCGGGCUUUUCUGGCGUCAUACUACAACAAAUAUCCUUUCCCUCCUCUUUCCGACGACGUUUCUCGGCUUUCCUCUGACAUGGCUUCUCUGAUUCAGCUACUGACUCUCCAAUCUCCCCCAUCUCAAGGGGAAGCUUCCCUGAUCGAAGAAGCGAACCAGAAGAUGCUGAAUUAUUAUCCAUUUUGAGACAUCUCAAAGACAAUUUUGAUAAAGCUCUGGCUGCUAUGAUUUCCUUCCAGACGAAAAACUCUGAGAGCGUCUUUAACACUGUUAUGACCUACAUGCCUCAAGAUUUCCGAGGAACGCUCAUCAGACAGCAGAAGGAGAGGUCGGAGAGGAACAAACAGGCGGAGGUUGAUGCCUUGGUUAGCUCUGGAGGGACCAUACGCGACACAUAUGCUCUUCUUUGGAAGCAGCAGAUGGAGCGAUCGGACUCACUGGCGACGAUGGAUUUACAGCAAGAGCAGGCUUGUUGGAAACCCUUUUUUAUCCUCACGGAUGAUGUUAGUGUAUUUUCAGUUCUCAGAAAUGUCGUGCAUAUUUUUAUAACAUGAUAAGCGAUGUCAUAGACUGUCAAAAGCACGACAAACCACAGCGUGGAUAAAGUCAUAUUUGCCUUGACUUUUCCCAACUGCUUAGUCCUAUUUAAAAAAAAAAGCAGGCCUUCUUUCAAGUA